UGCGGAAGGAUCAUUAUUGAAUGAAUGUAGAG
rnacentral:rRNA from 1 species